GACGAACGCUGGCGGCGUGCUUAACACAUGCAAGUCGAACGGGAUUUAGUAGACAGAAGCCUCGGCUAAAGAUGACUAAUGAGAGUGGCGAACGGGGGAGUAACGCGUGAGCAACCUGCCUAUGACAGGGGGAUAGCCUCGGGAAACCGGGAUUAAUACCGCAUAAAAUCGUAGAAACACAUGUUUCAACGGUCAAAGAUUUAUCGGUCAUAGAUGGGCUCGCGUCUGAUUAGCUAGUUGGUGAGAUAACAGCCCACCAAGGCGACGAUCAGUAGCCGGUCUGAGAGGAUGAACCGCCACAUUGGAACUGAGACACGGUCCAAACUCCUACGGGAGGCAGCAGUGGGGAAUAUUGCACAAUGGGGGAAACCCUGAUGCAGCGACGCCGCGUGAACGAAGAAGGUAUUCGUAUCGUAAAGUUCUGUCCUAUGGGAAGAUAAUGACAGUACCAUAGAAGAAAGCUCCGGCUAAAUACGUG
rnacentral:rRNA from 1 species